GUUAAGAAAAGCUUCUUUGAAGGUUCGAGACCGUGUUCGCACAAAGAUGGAGAGGGAUAUACUGGUAGAAGUAAAUCAUCCUUUUAUCGUCAAACUGCACUAUGCUUUUCAGACUGAAGGGAAGCUGUACUUAAUAUUGGAUUUCCUCAGGGGAGGAGAUGUCUUCACAAGAUUAUCCAAAGAGACUUCCAUUCUCGAUGUGGGACUUUCUAAAUCAUACUAGCACAGAGAUGCAGUCAGUAAGUUUUCAUUCCUAAGUCUGGAAUAUUAG
rnacentral:lncRNA from 1 species